rnacentral:rRNA from 1 species
GAUGAACGCUGGCGGUAUGCUUAACACAUGCAAGUCGAACGGUCACUUCGGUGAUAGUGGCGGACGGGUGAGUAACGCGUGAGAAUCUGUCUUCAGGUCGGGGACAACAGUUAGAAAUGACUGCUAAUACCGGAUGUGCCUUUGGGUGAAAGAUUUAUUGCCUGAAAAAGAGCUCGCGUCAGAUUAGCUAGUAGGUGGUGUAAGAGACUACCUAGGCUCCGAUCUGUAGCUGGUCUGAGAGGACGAUCAGCCACACUGGAACUGAGACACGGUCCAGACUCCUACGGGAGGCAGCAGUGGGGAAUUUUCCGCAAUGGGCGAAAGGCUGACGGAGCAAUACCGCGUGAGGGACGAAGGCUUUUGGGUCGUAAACCUCUUUUCUCAAGGAAGAUGAUGACGGUACUUGAGGAAUAAGCAUCGGCUAACUCGGUG